CCUACGGGAGGCAGCAGUGGGGAAUUUUGGACAAUGGGCGCAAGCCUGAUCCAGCAAUGCCGCGUGCAGGAUGAAGGCCUUCGGGUUGUAAACUGCUUUUGUACGGAACGAAACGGUCUGCUCUAAUAAAGUGGGCUAAUGACGGUACCGUAAGAAUAAGCACCGGCUAACUACGUGCCAGCAGCCGCGGUAAUACGUAGGGUGCGAGCGUUAAUCGGAAUUACUGGGCGUAAAGCGUGCGCAGGCGGUUAUAUAAGACAGAUGUGAAAUCCCCGGGCUCAACCUGGGACCUGCAUUUGUGACUGUAUAGCUAGAGUACGGUAGAGGGGGAUGGAAUUCCGCGUGUAGCAGUGAAAUGCGUAGAUAUGCGGAGGAACACCGAUGGCGAAGGCAAUCCCCUGGACCUGUACUGACGCUCAUGCACGAAAGCGUGGGGAGCAAACAGGAUUAGAUACCCUGGUAGUCCACGCCCUAAACGAUGUCAACUGGUUGUUGGGUCUUCACUGACUCAGUAACGAAGCUAACGCGUGAAGUUGACCGCCUGGGGAGUACGGCCGCAAGGUUGAAACUCAAAUGAAUUGACGG
rnacentral:rRNA from 1 species